rnacentral:lncRNA from 1 species
UUUAAAUGUUUAAACAAAAUGAAAUAUGUUUUCCAAUAUGAAAUUUUGUUUUAAAAUUAUAUUUCAGAUUAAAAAAAGAAAAAAAAAGGAUAGGUCUUUGCCGACGCUAGUCUUUUUCCAUACAAGUCUUCUGCCAGGCGUAAAGGCCGCGUGUAUACACAGAAUCAACACCAUCUGUACACUGUAUUCACAGUUUUUUCUGAAAAAAAUCAACACCCUUUUCACCAAAAAUCAAACUUUAUUGUACAAAAAUCCUUCUUAACUAGUUAAGAAGAGCCCCUUUUGGUGAAAUUGUUGAAUCACAGAAAAAAAAAGCAGUUGAUUUGGUGGUGUAUUCAAAAUGUUACCUCAAGUGCAGCUUUUGUUCAUGGUGGUGUUCUUGGAAAUGGGGUUGAUUUUGAUGUUUCUGUUCAGAACCCCUUUGAGGAAACUGAUAAUUAUGAGUCUUGAUCGUGUUAAAAGAGGCAGUGGACCGUUGAUUGUUAAAUCU